rnacentral:lncRNA from 1 species
GAAAAGGACAGUUGUACCAAAAUAGUUAAAAAGAUACUUUUUUUCCAAGAUUCAUAGCUCACAUAUUUUUCCUACACAUUCUCUCAUUUUUCUGCAUUUAAGGGACACUCUCAUCUCAUUCAUAGCAGACUCAUUUCAGAUUUUCAUUUUCUCUCAUUUGCAUAUCUCACACACAUCACAAUACAGAUUACUCACUCAUCCACUCUUCAUUCUUCAAUAACACAGAAAAUAGCCAAAGAAAAGCCAUAGAGUACUGAGUUAGAAUCUGAAGUUUCCAAAUUAGAAAAUUAAAAAGAAAAGUAAAUUUAGGUCGAUUUUCCUUUUAAAAAAGGGUUGUGGAGAAGCUGUAUCGAUUUCUACUUGAUUCUAGAAGAAAUUCUUUAUUAUUUUUGGAUUUUUGGCAAGCUGCUUUUGUCUGCAAUUCUACUAUUAGCUGUUGGAGUAGUUGUCGAGCUCUAGUGGAGGCUAUUUCUGACUUUUAUUUGGUAUGUUCCUUGUUGAUUUCUCAACUUUGAACUUGUAAGCUUAACAUCUCUGUACUCACAUGUUCCUUUCAAAUGACUCCCUAUGAAAUCUAGUGUAAUUUGUUGAUCUCUCAUGCUAGUAGAGCAAAAAAUUAAAUUGAUUUACCAUUAUUAUGUAGUGUAGUAUUCUAAACUCUGGACUGAAGUGUAUUGUGGAAUCGUUUGUUUGUUUGUUAAUAUCUGUUGCAGUAGUACAAUAGUGUUUAUAACAAAUAAAACAAGAUGUUGGUUUCUAGAGUAAUGGACUCAUUGUGUACUUAACCUAUAAUAGCACAAAUACAGUUAGCUAUAUGAUUUCCUUUUGUUAGUAAAAAAACUGAGUUAGAAACUGCCUACUGUUGAAGUUUGUUCAGUUUUCCUUGUGAUAAAUAUUGAGGUUGGACGAUGAAGGAUGUGAAAAUAAAAUCAUGAUGUAUGUAAAUUAAUUAAUUGCAUCUAAUCAUUAUACUACUGUUUGAUUUUAAAAUAGGAUGUUGGUUCACAAAAUUGGUUUUGUUGCAAAAUUUGAAUUAUGAUCUUUGUAAAUAUCAGUAUUACGACAUGUAAUUUGAUGAUCUUGCCUUCGUGUUUGAAAUGACUUGUAGUUAAUUUUAUUUUUCUUCUGACGUAUAUUAAUUUAUUUAAACUAGGUUUGUAAGAACAUUCAUUUCAGUAUUGUUUAAACUAGCAAGAGGUUCGGAAGAUCGAAAGUUCCCAUGUAUUUUCAUUUUUGUUUGGGCUUGACAAUAAUUUCGCCUAGCUGAAGAUGUGUCCGACGAAAGCUUACUCUCAAUUUUAAUUAAUAAAGUAAAAGGCCUCUUUUUAUUACAAAAUCCUUUUCAGCAUAAUCCAUUAUCUCACCCUUUAUUCAAUUAACUAAACUAUUGGAAGAUUAGAACAACCUUGGUUCAUCACUUAAACAGUUAGAAUGACUUCUUUAAGCUUACGGUAGUUUCCAUACUUGUACUCACACUGAGCUAAAAAAUAAAUUUAGGAAAUUAGCUAACUUUUGAACGCUCAUAGAAUGCUUUAGGCACGACUUUAAUCUAUCAUCGUAAUUAUGUAUACGUUCGUGUGAUAUAAUUAUUAUCUCAUAAUAAAUCAAACUGAUGAUUUAAGACACCAUAAUAAUUACUCCAAGUGGUAACUCUAAUUAAAUAAAUUAUCUCAUUUCGAAUAAGGUCGCUAAUUGGAAAAGCUCUCUUAUCUUCGGAAAAAAGAUGUGUGACAAUCUCAAGGAGGUUGAAUAUGAAUUUUGGGAUAGUUGAGUGACUAUUUGAGCAAUAGCCUCGAAAAGUUUUUUAAACUUGAUUUCAAUAUCAAAUUUUGACUCCAAAUAGGCCCGAAUCACCUCUAAUUUUUCACAAAUUCCAAUCAUUCCUAAUCAAAAAGAUUAUUAUUUUGUCAAGACUUUUGAAUGAUUAUUUUGUUGUCUAAACUUUCUUCAUGUUGUAUAUGAUUGGGAAAACAAUUCUAGCUAUUGGGGGAUGACCCGGCUAGUUUCCUUAAAAUUAACGCUCUGGUCUCCUAUUAACUACUUUUCCCAAGUUUAUUUCUGCUAUUUUGAUUUGCCGAGAUAGUUGGUUUUAAGUUUUUGGAGAGUUUUUGAAAACUUAGUCCUAAAUGAGAGCUUAAGUGUUGGAAAGUUGACCGUAGUCGGAACAAUAUGAAGACGGCCUCGGAAUGGAAACUUGAUGGUUCUGUUAGCUUCUUUAGGUGAUUUCGGGCUUAGGGGCGUAUUAGGAUUGUGUUUUGGAAGUCCGUAGCUAAUUUAGGCUUGAAAUGCCGAAGGUUGAAUUUUUGAAGUUUCUGGUUCGAUACUGAGAUUUUCAUCCGAGGGUCAGAAUGGAAUUUCAAGAGUUACACUAGUUCCGUUAUGUCAUUUGGAAAGUGUGUACAAAAUUUCAGGUCAUUCGUAGGUGGUUUGAUUGGGUUUUUGAUCAAAAGCGAAAUUCGGUAGAUUUUUAAAAACUUAGGCUUGAAUCCGAUUGUUUUUGGGAAUUUGAUGUUGUUUAAAGUGUUUUGAAGAUUGCUACAAGUUUGAAUGAGGUUUUAGGAUAUGUUGGUGCUUUUGGUUGAGGUCCCAGGGGCCUCGGGUGUGUUUCAGAUGUUCAACGGAUCAUUUUAAGUUGUCAAAAGUUGCAGGUUUUGUUAAGCUAUUACAAAGGGAUUUUAGCCUUCGCGUUCGUGAGGUAGGCUCUAUGUUCGCGAAGGGUUAUGAUGUUUGAAAAUCACGUUUGCUGAAAAGGGAUCGUGUUCAUGUAGAAGAAAAUGGCCAGUUGGGUUCAAAGUGGAGUUGUUCUUCGCGUUCGCGACAGCUGUAACGCAUUCGAAAAGAGUUGGUCAGUGGAAGCAUCGUGUUUGCGAAGGCCGUGUCGCAUUCGCAUAAGAGGAUUUUUUGGUCAACAUUAUUUUGUGUUUCCCGAACACAAGACUUAACCGUAUUCGCAAAGAAGGAAUUAAAAUACAUGGGUAAAAUGUUUAAAAGGGUCUAUUUCGCGAAUUUUAGCUAGUUUCCUCCAUUGUUAAGCGAUUUUAAAGCUUUUUGAGGAGGGCUGAAGAGGGAUUCAAGGGAAUCACUUGGAAGUAAUAUUUUUGACUUCAUAACUCAUUUUUAUAUUAUUAAAUACUGAUUAGUGGUGAAAAAUUUGGGAAAAAUGGGUAAUUAGGGCUUGAGUUUAAGAGAACCAAAAUGGGUAUUUGAGGGGUCAAUUGAACUCCGAUUUUUAUUUUCUUGUUAUGUAUAGACUCGUGGGAGUAUGAGGAUUCCGAAUUUACCCGAUUCCAAGACAUGGACCCGAGGGGCAUUUUGGUCAUUUUACUUAAUUUCGCAUAUUAGCUUAGAAUUCAAUUGUAGAGUCAGUUACUUGAAGUGUUAUUUACAUUAUGAAAUUAAAUUAAAUAGAUUUGAGCCAUUUGGAGUCGAGUACUCAUGGCAAGAAUGUGGUAUCAGGUUUAUUUUGAGCCGGUUCGAGGUAAGUGGCUUGCCUAACCUUGUUUGAGAGACUAUUCCCUUAGGAUUUGGUAUAUUUGAUAAUUGAAAUGCCUUGUAUAUAAGGUGACGAGUGAGUACUUGUGCUAAAUAUUGAAAAUCUAGUUUUCAUUAAGUACUACUAGUAUGAUUAUUUUUCCUGUUUUACUGCUUGUACUAUUUGAACAUGUGUUAGCUUAGGAGAAGCAUGAAUAAAUGAUUAAAUUGCCUUACUUAUUUAACUGCCUUACCUAAAUUAUGUGCAGCAUGCUAAGAUAGACUAUUUUAUUGCCGUACUAUGAAGUUUGUCAUUUCUGAUCAUUCCUCCUGUUACUGCUGUGUGUUUUCUUUGGGACUACGGGUUAGAUUCCCAGUAGAUUCCCCCACAUAUUUACGUUGGGACUACAGGUUAGAUUCCUGGUAGAUUACCCCUGAAGAAUAAUAUGGCACUACAGGAAUGCACCUGGUAGAUUCUCCUAGUACUGGAUAUUUAUGUUUGGAAUUAUGAAAUCGGAAUUCGGUAGAUCCCCUUGUACUAUGAGUUGAGCUACGGGACGAUAUUCUGAGAGACUUUUCUGAGAUGUAUAUUUGGUACUUCAGGAUGGUACCCUGAAAGAUCCGCGGUUGGUAUUAUUGGAAUUGAGCCGUAUUUCCUCCGGUGUUUACUUUGUUUUACGUUAUUUUGUGUUGUUGUUGUUGUUCUCUACAUACAGUGUUACUUUUACUAUUGUUCACAUAUUAUACUGUCUUGUUCCACACCAUUGAAUUAUAUCUUUUAUUUAAUCUUAGUAGGGCCCUGACCUUCCUUGUCACUACUCAACCAAGGUUAGGCUUGGCACUUACUGAGUAUCGUUGUAGUGUACUAAUGCCCUUUCUGCGCAUAUUUUUAAUGUGCAGAUCCAUGUACAUCAAGUCACUUUUACCAUCAUUGAGGCGAGGCGACCGCUAUAGAGACUUCGAGGUACAUCUGCUACGUCCGCAGACCGAGAAGUCCCUUUCUAUUCUAG